UGAGGACAAUGGGCAAAGUAAGGAAG
rnacentral:piRNA from 1 species